rnacentral:rRNA from 1 species
UACGGAGGGUGCAAGCGUUAUCCGGAUUCACUGGGUUUAAAGGGUGCGUAGGUGGGCAGGUAAGUCAGUGGUGAAAUCUCCGAGCUUAACUCGGAAACUGCCGUUGAUACUAUUUGUCUUGAAUAUUGUGGAGGUAAGCGGAAUAUGUCAUGUAGCGGUGAAAUGCAUAGAUAUGACCCGGAACACCGAUUGCGAAGGCAGCCCGCUAAGCAAUGAUUGACGCUGAGGCACGAAAGCGUGGGGAUCAAACAGG